rnacentral:rRNA from 3 species
UACGUAGGGUGCGAGCGUUAAUCGGAAUUACUGGGCGUAAAGCGUGCGCAGGCGGUUCGCCAAGUCAGGUGUGAAAUCCCCGGGCUUAACCUGGGAAUUGCGCUUGAAACUAGCGGGCUUGAGUGUGGCAGAGGGGGGUGGAAUUCCACGUGUAGCAGUGAAAUGCGUAGAGAUGUGGAGGAACACCGAUGGCGAAGGCAGCCCCCUGGGUCAACACUGACGCUCAUGCACGAAAGCGUGGGGAGCAAACAGG